UAUAUAAAAGAAGAACGUCAGAGAAACACUUGACAGAACAGAUUUGCCGAGGUUAAGCGAACAUUAAACUGUAAAAAGUAAACAACGACUUUCCACUCGUUCCUUGCUGCUAUUAAUUCUAUCGGCGUCAAGAAUCGGUAAAGUUGAUGAUGACUGAUUUCUUUGUGGCGAACUACAUGGACGAAUACGACGUAAUGAGCAUGUACCGUGACCAAUACAUCCAUGUUGGCCACAGUGGUAAAGGUCGAUCAAAGAAAGAAGCCAGAGAACAUACCAACAGACAUGAUCCUAAUGGCCAUAACCGCAAAACCUUACAGAAACUCAUGAAUAACAGUU
rnacentral:lncRNA from 1 species